UUUGAACAUUCGUUUCUGUGAACUUCUUUAAAACCAUCUCCUCUGAUUCUUCCAUAGAACGGCUCUGCAAGCGUCCCUGUAGGUUGGUGUCUGAUUUGGAGUACUUGAGCAGCGAGUUGUAGUUCAGAGCGUCUUGGGAUGCAGAGAGCAUGCUCUUGGUCUGGGGUGGCUGAAUCUUGGUGUAGAUCCUCCGACCUAUCAAGGUGUAGAUGACAGCUGUACUUAUCACGAUCCCGACGAAAAAUAAACCAAUAAAUCCCAAAUAGAUAUUGAGACCGUACUUUUCGUGGACAUUUCUGGUUACAUGCUCACAGCGAAACUCCGUCACGUUGUUGUAGAUAUUUCUCUUGGUUUCAUUUACACCAAUGAAGACGAGAGAUGGGAUGGAAAGAACAGUACUGCAUAUCAUCGAAAUAACUAUCGCCAUUCGUUUCCAAAACAGUGACAUUCGACUUUUCCCCCGAGUACAAAUCUUCUUGUACCUCUGUAUAGAUAUUAUUAACAAUAUGGUCAACGAUUCUACGCACGUCACUCGCGUUACGUAAUUUAGACUCUUGCACAUCACUGAUGACGUGAACAUAACGGGGAUCGCAUUCAACGUCACAAACAGGACAGACGCUGAGACACAAGCCAACAUAUUCGUAAUAGCAAGACAGGGUAUAAAGUAUCGGUCAUCCCUUUUGUUUUUCAUUCGGAAAUGGUAAGUCAGGAUCACAAUGGAGUUCCCUAUUACCCCGAUGCUCAGCAAUAUCGAUACUAUUAUCGAAUUGAUCCGAUAGUUGGCAGCAAUGGCGCUGUUUAGAUCUUUUGUGGAAUAGUAUACAUGAGUUUUGUCAAUGGUUUGAUUAAAGAAACCAACACUGCUCAGGUUUUCUGUGGAAUAGAAUACCGGAGUUUUGUCACUAGUUGGAUUAGGCAAUUCCAUUUUCCUCACCCUUCAGUUUCCACUUUUGAUGGCGUUAUCCUGAGCUCUUACUUGCACAUGGAGAAUAUCGCUGACCCCAGAUCACUCCGAGUGAUUUUGAGUCUUGCUGACAUAAAAAAAGAAUCACUUUAAGAAAAUGACACCGGGGCAAUCGAGUCUCUAAGCACUUCCCUAGUUUGAUAGACCGCGUAUCAAACCGGAAGAUUCGGCAAAGCCUGGGGUUUCCCUCGGCAAACAAUCAAUGGUACGGUGUUAUCACGUUCUGCACUGUCUUUGAUGGCGCAAUGAAAUUAGGAAGUAAAUUGUUGAACACAUGUGGAAAGCGUAUAAAUAUCCCUGUCAAGACUAUAUGACAACAAAUCAACUUGUAUUGACUUUCAGGGCGAAAAAAAAGUGCAAAUCAGUCGUUCAAAAGUGAAAAAUGUCGUUUAAUAUUGCCACCAAUAAUCAAGUGAUUGUCAUUUUUAAAACUUGGCUCAUUGCACGAUUUUUAUCUAAAAUGUACAAGUAAACGUUUUCGAAUAAAGCAAACAAUUAAGUUGUAUCAUCUAUUAAAGGUUUUAUUAAAAAAAAUUACUACAUAGU
rnacentral:sRNA from 1 species